UUGCUGGUUUAUAUCCGGCUCGAAGGACCAUAUGUUGCGUUGUGGUAAUUGAGCGUGGACUGUAUUUGUUAUU